rnacentral:rRNA from 1 species
UGGGGAAUUUUGCACAAUGGGGGAAACCCUGAUGCAGCGACGCCGCGUGAUUUAGAAGGCCUUCGGGUUGUAAAAAUCUUUUUUACGGGAUGAAAAUGACAGUACCGUAAGAAUAAGGUCCGGCUAAAUACGUGCCAGCAGCCUCGGUAAUACGUAUGGACCGUGCGUUGUCCGGAAUCAUUGGGCGUAAAGGGUACGUAGGCGGCCUAGUAAGUUAAAAGUUAAAGAAUAUAGCUCAACUAUAUAAAGCUUUUAAAACUGCUAGGCUUGAAAGAUAGAAAGGAAAGUUGGAUUCCUAGUGUUGCGGUGAAAUGCGAAGUUAUUAGGAAGAAUACCGGUGGCGAAGGCGACUUUCUGGUCAUCAUCUGACGCUGAGGUACGAAAGCGUGGGUAGCAAACAGG